rnacentral:rRNA from 1 species
GACGAACGCUGGCGGCGUGCUUAACACAUGCAAGUCGUACGGUAAGGCCCUUUCUGGGGUACACGAGUGGCGCACGGGUGAGUAACACGUGAGUAACCUGCCCACAACUUUGGGAUAACGCUAGGAAACUGGUGCUAAUACUGGCUAUGUGCUCCUGCUGCAUGGUGGGGGUUGGAAAGCUCCGGCGGUUGUGGAUGGACUCGCGGCCUAUCAGCUUGUUGGUGGGGUAGUGGCCUACCAAGGCGGCGACGGGUAGCCGGCCUGAGAGGGUGACCGGCCACAUUGGGACUGAGAGACGGCCCAGGCGCCUACGGGGGGCAGCAGUGGGGAAUAUUGCACAAUGGGCGCAAGGCUGAUGCAGGAACGCCGCGUGCGGGAUGACGGCCUUCGGGUUGGAAAACGCUUUCAGCAGGGAAGAAGCUUUUUGUGACGGUACCUGCAGAAGAAGCACCGGCUAACUACGUG